rnacentral:rRNA from 1 species
AGUGAACGCUGGCGGUAGGCCUAACACAUGCAAGUCGAACGGCAGCGCAGUAAGAGCUUGCUCUUACGGGUGGCGAGUGGCGGACGGGUGAGGAAUACAUCGGAAUCUACUUUUUCGUGGGGGAUAACGUAGGGAAACUUACGCUAAUACCGCAUACGACCUACGGGUGAAAGCAGGGGAUCUUCGGACCUUGCGCGAUUGAAUGAGCCGAUGUCGGAUUAGCUAGUUGGCGGGGUAAAGGCCCACCAAGGCGACGAUCCGUAGCUGGUCUGAGAGGAUGAUCAGCCACACUGGAACUGAGACACGGUCCAGACUCCUACGGGAGGCAGCAGUGGGGAAUAUUGACAAUGGGCGCAAGCCUGAUCCAGCCAUACCGCGUGGGUGAAGAAGGCCUUCGGGUUGUAAAGCCCUUUUGUUGGGAAAGAAAAGCAGCAGGUUAAUACCCCGCUGUUCUGACGGUACCCAAAGAAUAAGCACCGGCUAACUUCGUG